CAAACCCCCCUUCCUAUAUGUGACAAUUAGUAGGGAGCCCUUAAUACAUGUGGUACCCAGGGGCCCGAAAGUUCAUAAUCCGUCCAUGAUGACAGUG